UCUCACAUCGAUGAUUCUCUCUCUCUGGAACGAUAUAGAGAAGAUUAGCAUGGCCCCUGUGCAAGGAUGACACACCAAUUCGGGAAGCGUUUCAUAUUUUA
rnacentral:snRNA from 1 species